GGACGAUUAGCUCAGUUGGUUAGAGCACCUCGCUUACACCGAGGGUGUCGGGGGUUCGAGUCCCUCAUCGUCCACCA
rnacentral:tRNA from 3 species